ensembl:snoRNA
CAAAAUAUUAAGCCUAGUUCAAGGCUGCUUUCCUGUUGUGGUAAUUAGGUUUUGAAAUAUUAAGACAGAAGCUAGGGAAGAUGAUUCGGCAGAAGGUAUUUGUCUAUUCAUUUCCCUCCCAGUCUAUAAAU